rnacentral:rRNA from 1 species
UACGUAGGUGGCGAGCGUUGUCCGGAUUUACUGGGUGUAAAGGGCGUGUAGGCGGGGAGUUAAGUCAGAUGUGAAAGCCCAUGGCUCAACUGUGGGACUGCAUCUGAGACUGAUUCUCUUGAGUGCUGGAGAGGAAAGCGGAAUUCCUAGUGUAGCGGUGAAAUGCGUAGAUAUUAGGAGGAACACCAGUGGCGAAGGCGGCUUUCUGGACAGUAACUGACGCUGAGGCGCGAAAGCGUGGGGAGCAAACAGG